rnacentral:rRNA from 1 species
GACGUAGGGCGCGAGCGUUGUCCGGAUUUAUUGGGCGUAAAGAGCUCGUAGGCGGCUUGUCGCGUCAACUGUGAAAACCCGUGGCUCAACCAUGUGGUCUGCAGUCGAUACGGGCAGGCUAGAAUUCGGUAGGGGAGACUGGAAUUCCUGGUGUAGCGGUGAAAUGCGCAGAUAUCAGGAGGAACACCGGUGGCGAAGGCGGCGUCCUGGACCAACACUGACACUGAUGAGCGAAAGCCAGGGGAGCAAACGGG